rnacentral:rRNA from 1 species
GGUUACUGCUAUCGGUGUUCGCCUAAGCCAUGCGAGUCAUAUGUUCUUCGGAACAUGGCGUACUGCUCAGUAACACGUGGAUAACCUGCCCUUGGGUCCGGCAUAACCCCGGGAAACUGGGGAUAAUUCCGGAUAACGCAUAUAUGCUGGAAUGCUUUCUGCGUAAAAUGGAUUCGUCUGCCCAAGGAUGGGUCUGCGGCCUAUCAGGUAGUAGUGGGUGUAAUGUACCUACUAGCCGACGACGGGUACGGGUUGUGAGAGCAAGAGCCCGGAGAUGGAUUCUGAGACAUGAAUCCAGGCCCUACGGGGCGCAGCAGGCGCGAAAACUUUACAAUGCGGGAAACCGUGAUAAGGGGACACCGAGUGCCAGCAUCAUAUGCUGGCUGUCCGGGUGUGUAAAAUACACCCGUUAGCAAGGGCCGGGCAAGACCGGUGCCAGCCGCCGCGGUAACACCGGCGGCCCGAGUGGUGAUCGUGAUUAUUGGGUCUAAAGGGUCCGUAGCCGGUUUGGUCAGUCCUCCGGGAAAUCUGAUAGCUCAACUAUUAGGCUUUCGGGGGAUACUGCCAGGCUUGGAACCGGGAGAGGUAAGAGGUACUACAGGGGUAGGAGUGAAAUCUUGUAAUCCCUGUGGGACCACCUGUGGCGAAGGCGUCUUACCAGAACGGGUUCGACGGUGAGGGACGAAAGCUGGGGGCACGAACCGGAUUAGAUACCCGGGUAGUCCCAGCCGUAAACGAUGCUCGCUAGGUGUCAGGCAUGGCGCGACCGUGUCUGGUGCCGCAGGGAAGCCGUGAAGCGAGCCACCUGGGAAGUACGGCCGCAAGGCUGAAACUUAA